AGCGAACGCUGGCGGCAGGCUUAACACAUGCAAGUCGAGCGCCCCGCAAGGGGAUCGGCAGACGGGAGAGUAACACGUGGGAACAUACCUUUUUGUUCGGAACAACUGAGGGAAACUUCAGCUACUACCGGAUAAGCCCUUACGGGGAAAGAUUUAUCGCCGAAAGAUUGGCCCGCGUCUGAUUAGCUAGUUUGUGAGGUAACUGCUCACCAAGGCGACGAUCAGUAUCUGGUCUGAGAGGAUGAUCAGCCUCACUGUGACUGAGACACGGCCCAGACUCCUACGGGAGGAAGCAGUGGGGAAUAUUGGAAAAUGGGGGAAACCCAGAUCCAGCCAUGCCGCGUGAGUGAUGAAGGCCUUAGGGUAGUAAAGCACUAUUGCCAGGGAAGAUAAUGACGGUACCGGGAGAAUAAGCCACGGCUAACUUCGUG
rnacentral:rRNA from 1 species